rnacentral:ncRNA from 1 species
UUAUUUAAAUUUAAUUUUAGUUUAAUUAUUAAUUAUAAAUUUUAAUUUUUAUAUAAAAAUUUAUAUUAAUAUUUAUUUUAAAUAAAUAAAUAUUUUUUAUUUAAAUUUUAUAUUUAAAAAUAAAUGAAAAUUUUAUUUAGGAAUAUUUAAUAUUAGAAGAUAAUUUAGUGCCAGCAUCUGCGGUUAAACUAUUUCUAAAAAUUAAUAAUAAUAAUUUUAAAUUUAUUUAAUAUUUAAUUAAAAUAAAAAAUUAAUUAUAAUUUUGGUGAAAUAAUAUUAUAUUUUAAAUUUAUUUAUUAUAUUUAAUUAUUUAAUAAAUUUUAUAAAAAACUAGGAUUAGAUACCCUAUUAUUAAAAUUAAAGGAAAAAUUUAAUUAUUAAAUGUUAAUCAUUAAAAUUAAAAUAUUUGGCGGUUAAAUAAUAAUUAGAGGAACUUGUGAAUUAAUUUGAUAAUCCACGAUAAGAUUUACUUAAUUUAUAAAUUUUAUGUAUUGUUGUUUGUAAAAAUUUUAAUAAAAAUAUUUUUAUUAAAUUUUAUAUAAAUUAUAAUUCAAAUCAAAAUGUAGAAUAAUUAAGAUUUAAUGAGUUACAAUAAAAUUUAUAUUUAAGGAUAAUUUAUUUUAAAAUAAAUUUUAAAUAGGAUUUAAUAGUAAAUAAUUUUAAAUUAAAAUUAUUGAAAAUUAAAAAUUUAAUGUACAAAUUGCCCGUCACUUUCAUUUAAAAAUUGAAAUAAGUCGUAACAAAGUAAAAGUAUUGGAAAAUGUUUUUAGUUUAAAAUAAAAAAUUAAUUGAAUAAUUUUUAUAUAAAUAAUAGAUUUAUAUUAGUAAAUUUUAUU